ACAUGCAAGUCGAACGCUUCUUUUUCCACCGGAGCUUGCUCCACCGGAAAAAGAGGAGUGGCGAACGGGUGAGUAACACGUGGGUAACCUGCCCAUCAGAAGGGGAUAACACUUGGAAACAGGUGCUAAUACCGUAUAACAAUCAAAACCGCAUGGUUUUGAUUUGAAAGGCGCUUUCGGGUGUCGCUGAUGGAUGGACCCGCGGUGCAUUAGCUAGUUGGUGAGGUAACGGCUCACCAAGGCCACGAUGCAUAGCCGACCUGAGAGGGUGAUCGGCCACAUUGGGACUGAGACACGGCCCAAACUCCUACGGGAGGCAGCAGUAGGGAAUCUUCGGCAAUGGACGAAAGUCUGACCGAGCAACGCCGCGUGAGUGAAGAAGGUUUUCGGAUCGUAAAACUCUGUUGUUAGAGAAGAACAAGGAUGAGAGUAACUGUUCAUCCCUUGACGGUAUCUAACCAGAAAGCCACGGCUAACUACGUGCCAGCAGCCGCGGUAAUACGUAGGUGGCAAGCGUUGUCCGGAUUUAUUGGGCGUAAAGCGAGCGCAGGCGGUUUCUUAAGUCUGAUGUGAAAGCCCCCGGCUCAACCGGGGAGGGUCAUUGGAAACUGGGAGACUUGAGUGCAGAAGAGGAGAGUGGAAUUCCAUGUGUAGCGGUGAAAUGCGUAGAUAUAUGGAGGAACACCAGUGGCGAAGGCGGCUCUCUGGUCUGUAACUGACGCUGAGGCUCGAAAGCGUGGGGAGCAAACAGGAUUAGAUACCCUGGUAGUCCACGCCGUAAACGAUGAGUGCUAAGUGUUGGAGGGUUUCCGCCCUUCAGUGCUGCAGCUAACGCAUUAAGCACUCCGCCUGGGGAGUACGACCGCAAGGUUGAAACUCAAAGGAAUUGAC
rnacentral:rRNA from 1 species